rnacentral:rRNA from 1 species
UGGGGAAUUGUUCGCAAUGGACGCAAGUCUGACGACGCAACGCCGCGUGGAGGACGAAGACCUUCGGGUCGUAAACUCCUGUCGAGUGGGACGAAAACCACUCGGGUUAAUAGCCCGGGAGGCUGACGGUACCACUAAAGGAAGCCCCGGCUAACUCCGUGCCAGCAGCCGCGGUAAUACGGGGGGGGCAAGCGUUGUUCGGAAUUACUGGGCGUAAAGAGCUCGUAGGCGGCUUGUUUAGUCGGACGUGAAAUCCCUUGGCUCAACUGAGGAACUGCGUCCGAUACUGGCAGGCUUGAAUCCGGGAGAGGGAUGCGGAAUUCCAGGUGUAGCGGUGAAAUGCGUAGAUAUCUGGAGGAACACCGGUGGCGAAGGCGGCAUCCUGGACCGGUAUUGACGCUGAGGAGCGAAAGCUAGGGUAGCAAACGGG